rnacentral:rRNA from 1 species
CCUACGGGAGGCAGCACUCGAGAAUAGUAUCCAAUGGUCAUAAGNCUGUUAGUNAUAAAGGCAUUGGCCGAAAGUNNGAACCANCCAUGCCGCGUGCAGGAAUAAGGCCCUAUGGGUCGUAAACUGCUUUUGUGGUGGAGCAAUAAGACGUACGUGUACGUCGAUGAGAGUACAUCACGAAUAAGCAUCGGCUAACUCCGUGCCAGCAGCCGCGGUAAU